CAUCAUGAGCAGGAGAAGCAAGCCAGCAAGGGGGAGUACGACCCGCCGAACGAUAAGCUGAUUGAGAUGAUGGUGGGUCUUUCCAUCUAUAACCAGCAGGCUGCCGUGGCGCUACCGCUUUCCAUCUAUAACCAGCAGACCACCGCCGCACAACCGCGGCUGUGCGAGGUGCACGACGCUGCGGCGGCGGAUAGCUUCUCAUCUGCUUUUCUUGAGGCUCGUCGCAGUAUCAUCGAUCCGCGAGCAUACGUGCCGCCGCCUCCGAUAGGGCAGAAAGCCGGUCCGUCAGCGCCGUCGCAGAUGCAUCCUGGAUUGGUGCGGAUGCCGCUGCCGCCCUACGAUCGUAGCGUGCCUGACGCGCGAUCCUUCGCGGAAGGUCGACUUCGGCGCAGCAUAGCUCGUGGGCCCCGGAACGAGGCCGUGGGCAUGCUCUCGCCUGGCGCAAUCGGCGCAGCUUGCGGCGCCCACCCUGGCGGCCACGCGUAUAUGGCGCCGCCGCCCUACCUACACGGUGGAACGGAGGAAGCCUUGCUCCUCGCGCUGUCCGAGGAAACCCCCGAGAGUAUCGUGUCGUACGCCUGCGACCUCUUGGAGAGCAGACAUGGGCAGCGGCUGUUCCGUCUGGUCCUCAAUCACUGCUGCCAACAGCUGCGGGAUCGAAUCGUUGCUACGAUCACCUGGGACAGGAAGAGUUUCGGUAGCCUUUGCACCCGGAGGCCAGAUGAAGUAGUUCAUAUAAUCAGUUCCUGUGAAACUCGGAGAUCAAUGCAGCUUCUUGGAGAUGCCAUGCUGCAAUGGAUGUCACAUAAUCAGAUGAGGUACCUUCUGUCGGAUUCGAAAAGAUUAAAAGUGCUGCAGGCUUUCAUAAUGAGCUCUCCUCCGGAUAUUGCUCAGUUCAUUCUCAAAGCUGUUGCUCAAAAUUGUACAAGACUUGCAUAUCAACCAGAUGGACUGAGCCUACUGCAAAAUUGCCUAGAGCGUGUCAGCCGGAAGCAAAAGGAUGAUAUUUUUACCCAACUCUCUUAUCAGAGUCUUUUCCUUGCUCAAAAUUCCAGAGGAAACUGGAUCGUUCAGGACGUUCUGCGGAAGGGAGAUCCUUCUCACGUUGAAAUAAUUGCUUCCUGCCUUAGAAAUCAUUAUGUGACACUCGCGAAAAAUAAGUAUAGCAGCAAUGUCGUUGAGUGGUGUUUAAGGGUAUUCCACGAAGGAGAGAGAUCAGUUAUUAUAUGUGAAUUCAUUAACUAUCCUCACUUCAGAGAUCUGGUGACAGAUGAGUUUGCUAAUUUUGCACUCUCUACUGCUCUUCAGACAUGUGAGAUUCCUCUCCGAAACGUUCUGGCAAAUGCCAUCCUUUCCCAAAAUAUCACCGUACGGAAUCAACACUGUAUGAAGAUCUUUAGCACAUUAGCCAAAUAUGGGUUUAUGUAACAGAAUCUUUUGAGAUGAUUUUCUACUACUCUGGUCCUUUUCUUUUGGGCGUCUGCAGAUGUUGUGAAGACGUGAAGUAGGUACCAGGUGUACGUUCGAACCAUUUUGUGCUUGUGGAUUUUGUGGAUUGUGGCAUGUGUUAUCUU
rnacentral:misc_RNA from 1 species